GCCAUGGUAGUGUAGUGGCAUCACAAGACGUUGUGGCCGUCUUAACCCUGGUUCGAUUCCAGGCCAUGGCA